rnacentral:rRNA from 1 species
GUACGGCGGAACACGAGAAAUUCCGUCGGAAUCCGCGGGGACCAUCCCGCAAGGCUAAAUACUCCCUAGUGACCGAUAGUGAACCAGUACCGUGAGGGAAAGGUGAAAAGCACCCCGGAAGGGGAGUGAAAUAGAUCCUGAAACCGUGUGCCUACAACAAGUCAAAGCUCGUUAAUGAGUGAUGGCGUGCCUUUUGUAGAAUGAACCGGCGAGUUACGAUUGCAUGCGAGGUUAAGUCGAAGAGACGGAGCCGCAGCGAAAGCGAGUCUGAAUAGGGCGAAUGAGUAUGUAGUCGUAGACCCGAAACCAUGUGAUCUACCCAUGUCCAGGUUGAAGGUGCGGUAAAACGCACUGGAGGACCGAACCCACGUACGUUGAAAAGUGCGGGGAUGAGGUGUGGGUAGCGGAGAAAUUCCAAACGAACUUGGAGAUAGCUGGUUCUCUCCGAAAUAGCUUUAG